rnacentral:lncRNA from 1 species
AGAAAAAACAAACAUAUAAACACCUGCUUCUUUAAGACCUAAUUUAAUUUUCAUUGUUAACUGACUUCCUCUAAUCCCCCCUUACUGAAUUUCAUUGAAUCACCUUGUAACAGCCCUCCAAUAUCCUAUUUCUAAUCAAAUUAACUCCUUCAAUUUACUAUCUUCUUUGCUUUUCAUUAUUAUCUAAGUCAAAAGUAUUUUAUAAUUCAUUCUUACUCUAAUCCUAGGCCUCUCCAUUCUGAAGGAAAUCAGCCCUGAGUGCUCACUGGAAGGACAGAUCCUGAAGCUGAGGCUCCAAGACUUUGGCCACCUCAUGAGAAGAGAAGACUCCCUGGAAAAGACCCUGAUGUUGGGAAAGAUGGAGGGCCCAAGGAGAAGGGAACGACAGAGGACGAGAUGGUGGGACAGUGUUCUCGAAGCUACCAGCAUGAGUUUGACCAAACUGUGGGAGGCAGUGGAAGACAGGAGAGCCUGGCGUGCUCUGGUCCAGGGGGUCACGAAGAGUCGGACAAGACUAAACGACAACAACAACAUAUAGAAAGGAGGAAACCCGUGAUAUUUUAGGGAGCAGGCUAGCAGGCGGGGCCCAUGACUUACAUCAUAGGAGCCUAGACAACACAAAACGCUGUUGCUGUAGGUAGGUUUUAUUUUAUUUGUUUUUUAUCUCAUAUUUUGGAAAUGUACAUCCAGUUUUCUUCCUUUAAAUUUUUUGGGGCCCCCAAGAGAGUGGGGCCCCAAGCUAUAGCUUGUUUAGCGUAUACGUAAAUCCUGCACUGGAUCAUUAAAACGCUUUCACUCUCAGCUUGUUGACAUGCACCGGAUCCUAUCAGGUUCGCCAUCCACAAAUACAACAGCGCCCCCUCUGUGAAUGGUUGCAAAUAUUGCCCAAAAUAUUGAGAAUCCUCCGACAGGGCUGCAGCAAGGGCGCCAUCUACUGGCCUUGUUGGAGAAGUGCACCUUUUACUGGCCGAAUCUGGCGCCCCGAUUCUGGCCGAGAUCCAGGCCGGGUUUUCUUAGACGCUGCCCCGCCUUUGUGAAAGCGGCGCCUUGGGCGCAGGUGAGUGGGUCGCCUGGAAAUCCCGGACUGGAUUCCUUCCCCAAACUCAUACUAGCGAGUGCCUGAUCGACCUGGCGGCGGAAUGGUAUUUUUCCUCCACGUGCAAAAUGUGGUUUUGAGAGCUAAGAAAAGGCAGUAUUCCAGCUUUGGCGGAAUAGGUGUGUUUUAGGUAAAUAAACUUAACAUUUCCUCUCCUGGCCCCAACGUCACCAUUCCAUGCAUUGCAAUGUCCCUAAAUUCCUGUUAUGCUAGAGAGAGCAAGUUAAAUAGGAAGUCAAAUAAGUUUGCCAACCCAGAUUAAGGAAAACAAUACAUUGAGCAUGUUCAGUUUUGCAUGUUAAAUUCCAACAAGUCAACAGUAGCAUCGCAGGAAUGAAAUGGAGUUUGCAGCUAAGAAUGUUAAGUUACAAGAAAGGAGAUUCCAUCUAAACACCAGGAAGAACUUUGAGUGAAAUAUACAUUGAGUGAAAUAUACUCAGAGUCGCAAAGUGAUUUCAUGCUCUUUAUUCAGCUCAUAGUGGUGAGGAGGAAUGAAUGGAAGUCCCCUCACAGUAUCUGCUUUAUAUACAUUAUUUACACAAUGGGCUGCACAUGAUUGGCUAAUUCCGGAAUUCUACUGUAAGCCAAUCAGGUUGUGGAUUCCCUUCUAUCUGGAGCAUGAUUGGGUGGUUCCUGCCAACCAAUCAUACUGCUGCAUUCUGAAUCCUAUUGUUCUAGGACCAAUCAGACUGCUGCAAUUUGGAUCCUAUUGUUCUAGGACCAAUCAGACUGCUGCAGUUUGGAUCCUAUUCAACUCAGUACAUAACAUUGAGCAUGUUCAGUUUUGCAUGUUAAAUUCCAUUAAGUCUACAGUAGCAUCGCAGGAAUGAAAUGGAGUUUGCUGCUAAGAACGUUAAGUCUGAAAAUCCUUUAAAAAGUUUGAAAAGAGGGCUGGAAUUGAUUAAAGACUUUGGAGAAGUGGCAGGCUUUAAGCUGAAUAUAACCAAAACAAAAAUGCUUGUUAAAAACGUAACCAGAAAAGGACGAUUUAGGAAAAAAUAUUGGGCCUGAAAAUCUCUCAAAAAGCAAAAUAUCUGGGUAUUUGGAUCACCCCCCAAGAAUAUAAAUUUAUUUCAGGAUAACGACACAAAAACUUGGUUAGAGAUUAGAAAAAAUCUUCAAACCUGGAGUAAAUUAAAUUAACAUUUCUGGGCAGGAUUUCCAUUAUAAAGAUGAAUGUGCUUCCAAAAUUAAUCUUUUUAUUUCAAAUGAUUCCAAUACUGGGGGAAGCGGGUUGCCUCAAGAUAUGGCAAAGAUAAAUUUCCAAAUUCUUGUGGGAAGGGAAGAAGCCGAGAAUUAAGCAUCUUUCUUUCUUUCUAUUUAUUUAUAUAUAAUUUUUAUUUAUUUUCCAUUUAAUUAUAUAUAUUCACAUCAUCAUUAUUCACUUUACCUCCCUGGCUCUCUAGAGCCUAUUGACUUCCUUCCCUCCCGCCUCACGGCUUUCAAAAUUAACCUUUAUAUCAUUGCAUUUUGUGCGUUUUCCAUUUCUAAUUGCACUCAUUACAAAAGGACUCAAAAUUUAAAUAAAUAUAGAAAGGUAGAAAAUUUCUCACUACAAGCCUUCAGACAACCUUGCUAGUGAUGUUAAUUGCUUACAAUAAUCUUUCAAAUAUCUUAUAAAUUUACUCCAGUCUUUUGGGAAUACUUGAUCAUGCUGGUUUUGGAUUUUUCCUGUCAGCUUCGCUAAUUCUGCAAAGUCCCAUCAUCUUCAUCUUCCACACUUCUUUCGUUUGUACUUCUCCCUGUUUCCAUUUUUGGGCUAAAAGAAUUCUUGCCGCAGUUGUUGCACACAUAAACAGUCUUUUAUCUUCCCUCGGUAUCUCUUCACUAAACACCAGGAAGAACUUUAAUUUUUUUUAAUUGGAAAUUUUAUUUACAACAUAACAUAACCCCCCCAAUACAGAAAUCCACCCUCAUUAAACAUGAACAUAACAUACAAUAAGUAUAACAUACAACAAUACAAACAACCAAAUAAAAGACUUCCUUUAUCCUAUAUCUGGCCUCCUUAUUUACUUCUUAUAAGCUGUUUCCUUUAUGAAUAAUUAUUAAGAUUUUUCUAAUUAUAUCCACAAAAUGUCCUGCAAACAUUAAUCGAAACAAGUCCAGGUAUGUAUUUUAGGGCACUAUUUUGUAAAGUAUUCUCUGCAUUUCCCCCAUGCUUUUUGAAACUCUUGUCUAGUGUGAUCUCUAAUUGCCUCUGUUAAUCUAGCCAGUUCAAUAUACCGUAUUUUUGCUCCAUAAGACGCACUUUUCCCUCCUAAAAAGUAAGGGGAAAUGUGUGUGUGUCUUAUGGAGCGAAUGCUGGCGGGAGGCAGGCGAGAAAAGCCCCCAACAGCUGCACACACGCUCCACACGGCUCUUGCGGGCUUUUCCCGGGGGGUGGGGAGAAGGGACUGACUGGCCCCUGACCGUUAGGUCCCGUCGCAGACGACUCUGGGGUUGCAGCGCUCAUCUUGCUUUACUGGCUGAGGGAGCCGGCGUACAGCUUCCAGGUCAUGUGGCCAGCAUGACUAAGCCGUUUCUGGCGAACCAGAGCAGCGCACAGAAAUGCCGUUUACCUUCCUGCCGGAGUGGUACCUAUUUACUGUAUCUACUUGCACUUUGACGUGCUUUUGAACUGCUAGGUUGGCAGGAGCAGGGACCGAGCAACGGGAGCUCACCCCGUUGUGGGGAUUCGAACCGCCGACCUUCUGAUCAGCACUUCCUAGGCUCUGUGGUUUAACCCGCAGCGCCACCCGCGUCCCUUAUCACAAUAGCCUACACAACACAAAACACUGCUGCUGUUUGUAGGUUUUAUUCUAUUCAUUUUUUAUCUUAUAUUUUGGAAAUGUACAUCCAGUAUUUUCCCCUUUUAAAUUUUUGGGGGCCCCCAAUAGAGCAGGGCCCUAAGCUAUAGCUUGUUUAGCUUCUAUGUAAAUCCGGCACUGGUUAUACCCCACCCCUCCGACGUUUGCUGGUUUACACCAUUUCGCUGCCUGCUUCUCAGUUGAAACAUCGGCUUGGCGUGACCUGCUGCCAGUUUCGCCUGGGGCAUAAAUUCAGCCAUAAAGUGACUUUGGAUAUCUAGAAGCUUACUAGGGAGUCAGAGAGGGUGUGCCUCUGAGCAGAGAUGAUGAUGUUUUGCAGCGCCUUUUCUGUUCCUGGCUUGCAACGCAGGGAGCGGCAGGAAGGUUUGCCCAUGUACGGGCAAGACUGGGCAAGGAACCAGCAGGUGCUCUCUGUAUGCAUCGCUGAGAGGCAAAGAUUUAUGGCCGACAACAACGGCACACAGGAUGACCUGGCAGAAUGCGCAUGGAAACUUGGGUGUGAUUCUGCCGGACCUGUGCGCCUGAAAAUCGCUUUUUUUUAUGGGAGAGCGUUCCUGUGGCUAGCAAAGGCGGCUACAAGGAGGCACCGCUAAGCGAGAGGAACUCUGAGCAUACGAAGAGGGCCUGUUGCCACCUGUUAACACACAGAACCUGCUUUUGGGAUUGUUUGUUUUUUGGGGGGUCCCUUCCAAUUCUACGAUUCUGUGAAAAGAGGGAACUGUUACGGCCACAGGUGAAAAUUAAAAGGUGAAAAGCAAAACCACCAGAUGUCAAAGAGAAAAAUAACUACCACACUUUUAGAAGACAGAAGCUUUUAAUGUUUAAUAGGUUGUUGUAUUUUAGCGUUCUUUUGGAAGCUGCCCAGAGUGGCUGGGGAAGCCCAGCCAGAUGGGCGGGGUAUAAAUAAUAAAUUAUUAUUAUUAUUAUUAUUAUUAUUAUUAUUAAAACUAAAAUACAGUUGAAGUCCAAAUAAAGAAUGUCAGCGUUAUCUGAUUGUCACGUCUCGUUCCAGAUUUCCCCAGGCUUGUCUCGAAAACGAGGGUUCCAUUGUCUAUGUAAUAAAAGAAUGACAAAUCAUGCAAAAAGUGUCUGAAGGCUCUAGCUGAAUUCUCAAAUUAUGCCUCAUAUUCUCCCUUACAGCUCUGCUCCAGAGCGAGCGGUACCCAACGUCCGGU